AAGUAGCAUAGUUGAGUCUGCAGAGGAUCAUCACGUCACAGGAAGGUUGCAAACGGAACAUGAGAACAGUGCAUACUCCGCCUGCCCUAGUGUGGUCAUGGGUGCAAGGCUGCUCUGCUGGGUAGCACUCUGUCUCCUAGGGACAGGCUCCUUUGAUGCCAAAGUAACCCAGAAUCCAAGAUAUCUGGUCAAAGAGAAAGGACAGAGAGCAAAUAUGAGCUGCAACCCUGAAAAGGGUCACACUGCCUACUACUGGUAUCAACAGAACCAAAACGGAGAGCUUAAACUUUUGAUUAACUUUCGGAACGCAGACAUUAUUGAACAAACAGACGUGGUCAAGAAGCGAUUCUCAGCUGAGUGUCCCUCAAAUUCACCGUGCAGGCUGGACAUCCAGUCCUCUGAAGCAGGAGACUCAGCUCUGUACCUCUGUGCCAGCAGUCAGGACACAGCGCUGAAUUGUGUGUUCUCCUCAUUGCACAAACCCCACUGCGGGCAGAUCUCAGGAAGCAGCUCUAAGGCAUCCCAGCUGCAAGGGUCCUCUGCUGCACAGUCCCCGGUCUCCUGGGGGCAGGUUGUCUUGAUGCCAAAGUUAUACAGAUUCCAGCCAUCUGGUCAAGAGGAAAGGACAGACAGAAAAGAUGAGCUGUAG